AUGGCGAUUCGGCGCCGCCUGCCCUGCCUCCCCGCCGUCGCCGUGUCCACCAGACGCUCGACCGCGAGCCUCGCCGUCUCCCAUGGUGGGACCGGCGCGAGGCCCUCGACGGCCGUCCUGGCCGCCGCCGCGACGGCAGCCGCGGCGGCGGGCCGCGCCUCCGAGUGCCAGUCGCUCCUCCUCCGCAUGUCGCGCCGCCGCGGGGCCUCCCGCCUCGACAUCGUGUCCUCCCUCCUCGCCUCCUCCCCCACCCCGCAGCCGCAGGUGUUCGACCUCCUCAUCCGCACCUACACCCAGUCCCGCAAGCCCCGGGAGGCAUUCGAGGCCUUCCGCCUCCUCCUCGACCGCCGCAUCCCCAUCCCCGCCGCCGCAUCAAACGCGCUCCUAGCCGCGCUCUCCCGCGCCGGCUGGCCCCACCUCACAGCGGACGCCUACCGCCUCGUCCUGUCCUCCGACUCCGAGGUAAACACCUACACGCUUAACAUCAUGGUCCACAGCUACUGUAAAGCCCUACAGUUCGAUAAGGUUGAUGCCGUAAUCUCCGAGAUGGAGAAGAGAUGCGUGUUUCCGGAUGUGGUAACCCAUAAUGUGAUGAUUGAUGCUAGAUUUCGUGCUGGGGAUGUUGAGGCGGCGAUGGCAGUGGUCGAUUCGAUGGUUAGUCAGGGGAUAAAGCCAGGAAUCUUGACGUAUAAUGCAGUGUUGAAGGGGUUGUGUAGGAAUGGAAAGUGGGAUAAAGCAAGGGAGGUGUUCAGGGCAAUGAACGAGUGUGGGGUGGCGCCCGAUGUUCGGAGCUUCAACAUGUUGAUUGGGGGAUUCUGUAGAGUUAAGGAGCCUGAUGAGGCGAUGAAAUUUUACAAGGAGAUGCGACGGCGUGGAGUCACGCCAGAUAUUGUGAGCUUUAGUUGCCUGAUUGGGUUGUUUGCAAGGAGGGGGAAGAUGGACCGUACGGCGGCGUACUUGAGGGAGAUGAGAGAGUUCGGAUUGAUGCCUGAUGGUGUGAUUUACACAAUGGUCAUUGGUGGUUAUUGCAGGGCUGGGUCAAUGUUGGAGGCGCUGAGAGUUAGGGAUGAGAUGGUUGGCCGUGGAUGUUUGCCAGAUGUGGUAACUUACAAUACCUUGCUGAAUGGGCUUUGUAAAGAGCGUAGGUUGUCUGAUGCAGAGGAGCUUUUGACUGAGAUGAGGGAGAGAGGGGUUCCACCAGAUUUAUGCACCUUCACAACUUUAAUUCAUGGGUAUUGUAGGGAGGGUAACAUAGAGAAGGCAUUGCAACUAUUUGAAACAAUGCUGCAUGAGCGUUUAAUGCCAGACAUUGUGACAUACAACACUUUGAUUGAUGGAAUGUGCAGACAAGGUGAUCUGGGCAAAGCUAAUGAGCUAUGGGAUGAUAUGCAUUCUCGAGAAAUCUUCCCCAACCACAUUACCUACAGCAUCCUGAUAGACAGCCACUGUGAGAAGGGACAAGUGGAUGAUGCAUUUGGGUUUUUGGAUGAAAUGAUAAACAAGGGGAUUGUGCCAAACAUCAUGACCUAUAAUUCCAUCAUUAAGGGUUACUGCCGGUCUGGAAAUGUAUUGAAGGGGCAACAAUUUUUGCAGAAGAUGAGGGAUGCCAAGGUGUUGCCUGAUUUAAUUACUUACAACACCCUAAUCCAUGGUUAUGUUAAAGAAGAGAAGAUGCAUGAAACUUUUAAUUUGCUUAACAUGAUGGAGAAUGAAAAGGUUCAACCCGACACUGUGACGUAUAAUAUGAUUAUAAAUGGAUUUUCUGUACAUGGUAAUAUGCAAGAAGCUGAUUGGGUUUACAAGAAAAUGGGUGCUAGAGGAAUUGAACCAGACAGAUAUACAUACAUGUCCAUGAUAAAUGGUCAUGUUGCAGCUGGGAACUCGAAGGAGUCAUUUCAACUUCAUGAUGAAAUGCUUCAGAAAGGGUUUGCUCCUGAUGACAAAUUCUGA
rnacentral:rRNA from 1 species